rnacentral:rRNA from 1 species
GACGAACGCUGGCGGCGUGCUUAACACAUGCAAGUCGAACGAAGAGCGGUGGAAGCUUGCUUCUAUCAAUCUUAGUGGCGCACGGGUGAGUAACGCGUAAUCAACCUGCCCUUCAGAGGGGGACAACAGUUGGAAACGACUGCUAAUACCGCAUACGAUCUAAUCUCGGCAUCGAGGAAAGAUGAAAGGUGGCCUCUAUUUAUAAGCUAUCACUGAAGGAGGGGAUUGCGUGUGAUUAGCUAGUUGGAGGGGUAACGGCCCACCAAGGCGAGGAUCAGUAGCCCGUCUGAGAGGAUGAGCGGCCACAUUGGGACUGAGACACGGCCCAGACUCCUACGGGAGGCAGCAGUGGGGGAUCUUCCGCAAUGGACGAAAGUCUGACGGAGCAACGCCGCGUGAGUGAUGACGGCCUUCGGGUUGUAAAGCUCUGUUAAUCGGGACGAAAGGCCUUCUUGCGAACAGGUAGAAGGAUUGACGGUACCGGAAUAGAAAGCCACGGCUAACUACGUG